rnacentral:rRNA from 1 species
GUGGGGAAUUUUGGACAAUGGGCGCAAGCCUGAUCCAGCAAUGCCGCGUGCAGGAAGAAGGCCUUCGGGUUGUAAACUGCUUUUGUACGGAACGAAAAGGCUCUGUUAAUACCUGGGGCUCAUGACGGUACCGUAAGAAUAAGCACCGGCUAACUACGUGCCAGCAGCCGCGGUAAUAUGUAGGGUGCAAGCGUUAAUCGGAAUUACUGGGCGUAAAGCGUGCGCAGGCGGUUUUGUAAGACAGAGGUGAAAUCCCCGGGCUCAACCUGGGAAUUGCCUUUGGGACUGCAAGGCUGGAGUGCGGCAGAGGGGGAUGGAAUUCCGCGUGUAGCAGUGAAAUGCGUAGAUAUGCGGGGGAACACCGAUGGCGAAGGCAAUCCCCUGGGCCUGCACUGACGCUCAUGCACGAAAGCGUGGGGAGCAAACAGGAUUAGAUACCCGUGUAGUCC